CAAAUGCUCCUACAAAAGACUGCAAUUUAGUAUUUAAAUUUCCAAUGGAGCUUAAAUACUACUGGUUUGAGAACAAAAAACAAACAAAAAAACACCCUGUGGUUAUUGCUUCUAUGUCCAGAGACUGAUUUUAUUGGAACUUCAGAUACCCUAUACACCUCUAUGGUUAUUUAGGAAUUUACCAUCUGUUUCAGCUGUGACUCUUUUGUCGUAUUUCUGGACUGUAUAGGUUGUGCUCUGCAACCUUUGUGCUAGACUGAAAAGUGCAGUAGUAACUGAAUAAUAAACUAGAAAUAAAAAUGUUCACAAAACUGUUACAAUGAUGACUCUUGGGUUUGUUUCUUAAAUCUUCAGUUCUGAGAUUGGGUAAAUUGACAGCAGCAGACAUAUAUAUAGUAAGUGAUACUCUUCCUGUAGUAAGUGAAAACUUUUGCACCUACUAUUUUUGAUUUGCAUCUGUUAUAGCUCUGAUUUGAUCUCUGAGAGUGUGUAUAUAUAUAUAUAUCAAUGAUCCAUAGGCAUUUCCCUUCUGAGUCAUUUUCCUUGAGUGUCUGCGCUGGUGGUAUCACAGGCCAUCUCCAUGGAAACAACUAUGAUACUACAAUGAGUGACUUGUGACAUCACUAAGUGAAUCCACCAAGAGAAGGAGUGUUUGUGAACAGAAAGGAAACUUCUAUAAAAAACAAUUUAGUAAAUUAAAGCAAGAAAUGCAUAAUAAUGGCUAGUAGUAGAUCUAUGUAAUAGUGUUAUAGGGCUCUUUUUCUAUCAAGAGAGUGAAAUUUUUUAAAGUUUGUUGGAAUAUGAUAGCAGCUCUUUACAUUAAAACACUGUCAAUCUCUUCCAGCUGACAGUGUGAGCAUAUUUAAAUUGCUUUACAGCUACAGUACCAUAUGUUGCAGUGAGUAUGAAGAUGCAAAAUUCUCCAUAGUAAAUAUUCUCUACCUUAAGGUGCCAGAACACCCAAGACAGUCCAGAAGAGAAUUAUUGGAUUGCUUUUUGCUUAUGGCUGCAUCCUUCAGCCUAUUCCAGGAGAUGUAACCCAUCCUUUUUAGUUGAAGCUGCAGAGAAGGUAUGUGUCCACCAGAAGGAAGGCAAUGCCCUUUAGGGAUUAUUGGAAUACAGGGAAUGUUGCUGUGGGAUCCCAUUAUGCAAAUUCUGGUGGUGAGGUGAGUGCAUGCAAAGAAAAGCAAUGAAGCUGGCGAAGGGUCUAGAGAAAAAGUUUCAUGGAGAGCAGAGGAGACAUCUGGAGUUGUUUAGCUUGGAGAAUAGGAGGCUCAAGUGAGACCUUAGUACUCUCUACAGCUCCCUGAAAGGAGGGUGUAGUGAGGAGGGUUCCUUCUCUUCCCUGAGUCCAUAGCAGACCAGGAAAACUAUAGGAAGCGUGCUUCCCUUGAACCCCUUCAUACUAACUCUGCUAGGUGGAGCCAGGUA
rnacentral:lncRNA from 1 species